GUACACACCGCCCGUCAAGCCAUGAAAGCCGGGGGUGCCUGAAGUCCGUGACCGCAAGGAUCGGCCUAGGGCAAAACUGGUGAUUGGGGCUAAGUCGUAACAAGGUAGCCGUACCGGAAGGUGCGGCUGGAACACCUCCUUUCUGGAG
rnacentral:rRNA from 1 species